CUGACAUCUAUUGAACAAUAGGUCGAUUACAGUUGCAUCGCAUAGUUAAAACAAUUCUGAAAAACGACGUGCCAUUAGGUUCACCCGUUAUCUGAGUGUUGGGCCACUUUCGCGCACAGCGUCUCGUUUAUGUAGUACCAUGGCUGAGUAUUGACUAUUAUAGGUGUAUACUUUGUUAUAGGAGUUGGAAAUAUUCAAAUGUAACAUUAGACCGAAAGACGUGGGCAUAUUAAUCCCAGGCACGGAUCCAUUA